ACAGCCACCGCUCAAAAAAGAAAGUAAGAAGAAUUACAGCCACCACACGACCUGUUCUCCCCCAAAUCGAACCCUCCCUAGACCUCCUCCUCAACCGCCGCCGCCGCCCCCUCUGCCGUUGACCACGCCCUCCGCCACCACCCCUUUGGCUGACCUGUGCGACCCCAUCGGGAUCUAUGGCGGCGGUGCUUGGAUCUCGGCGCCGCCUCCCUCGAUACGCCUCUGAUGUGCGAGGUUGUCGUCGCCUCCCUCCCUUCGACACCACCACCAGAACUGGUCGACGAUGCCGGUCGCCUCCAUCUCUUCCUUACGGUCCAUCACGCCGACGAGCAUAGGCGGACUCCCCACCGUGGCUUCCUCCCCGCCAACGGCGAGCGUGGUGUCCCAUCUCCACUAUACUGGUACAAUACUUUCCUCAGAUCCGUCUUGGUGGAAAUCCGAUGCAGGUGAGAUCUUCCUAGGUUGUUAAUCUUUUCUUCUCUGGUCGAUGAGAACUCAUGGUGCGCAUUGUCCAGUUGUCCGUACGAAGGCAGAUUUCCCCUUCCACCGAGUUACUACUGAGUGUGUUCCUUAUUGUUGUUUUCCUUUUCCUACCAAAUUGAUGCAGGUGCUAUUAGUGAAAGGAUUGGAGAGUGGUUCUAGCAGUGGUUGGUUUGUUCGAGGAAUUCCUGGUGCUCGUGAUUUGUAAAGGGUUUCAGCCAGUAACUACAUUGUCACAGGAAAUUAGAUAUUUUGAGAAGCUUCUACAAGAUCUUGAUAUCAUUUGUGUUCUAUCCCUUGAUCCUGUGCUUGAGAAGGAGCUUCCCUAAAUUGCACAACUCCGAAAACUUGGCAAGUAAUUAUCAGCUGAGCAAAGGCUACAACAUGCUAGGAGGAGAAGUUUGAAUGGAGGCAGAGAGUACACUUGGUAAGUCAUAUAUCCAACCUGAACUUAUUUACUCAUUUUUUAUUUUUGUUCUAGUUUGAGUCCAAAAAGAUGGUUUGACAAAUGAGGUUGACAUUCUGUACACAUGUGCGCAUCUACCAUUCAUGCUUGUGAAGCAUUUUUAAAAAUAAAAUUGAAUAUGGCCAAAUUUGGGUUCCAAGUUUUGCCAUGCAGUCAUGACUUCGUAUUAGUUUGCCCCCUUCAACAUGUAAUACUAUGAGCCUGACCAUAUUUUAUUUGGAACAUUUAGAUGAUGUGCCAGAAGGAAAACAAAAGGCAACGAUGAGAAGGAAAACAAACGGCAAUCUACUUACAUCUGACGUGUUAAUUCGAAUGUGCCAAAAAUUUCUCUUUUCAGGAAAUAGAAUGGAAAAAGGAAGAGGAGAGAAUGCUGAAGCACAAGAGCGAGAGGCUAGCGGAAGUUAAAGCAAUAAACUAUAAGCAUUUUGAAUGAUUAGGGCCUCGUGUCGUUGGGAACAUUACAACCAUGGGGAAAGCUAAUUUUGGUUGCUAGUUUAGCAUAGAAGCCACUAUAUGCUCAUUUUGGUCGUGUGUCGCAUCAAAAAACAUAUGUAAUUUUCCUUUUGUUGCACAACACCCUUGUAUAUGGGCGUUUCUAGAAGCAUAUGUAUUUGGUCGUUAAUUUUAUUGAGUGAAGAUAAGUUUUA